CGGGAAUAUUGGUCAAUGGGGGAAACCCUGAACCAGCAAUGCCGCGUGAGUGACGAAGGUCUUCGGAUUGUAAAGCUCUGUCCUUGGGGAAGAUAAUGACGGUACCCAAGAAGAAAGCCACGGCUAACUACGUGCCAGCAGCCGCGGUAAUACGUAGGUGGCAAGCGUUGUCCGGAAUUAUUGGGCGUAAAGGGCGAGUAGGCGGCCGAUUGUGUCAGAUGUGAAAGGCUAGGGCUUAACCCUAACAUGGCAUUUGAAACUGAUUGGCUUGAGUGUAGGAGAGGGAAGCGGAAUUCCUAGUGUAGCGGUGAAAUGCGUAGAUACUAGGAGGAACACCAGUGGCGAAGGCGGCUUCCUGGCCUACAACUGACGCUGAUGCGCGAAAGCGUGGGGAGCAAAC
rnacentral:rRNA from 1 species